rnacentral:rRNA from 1 species
AAGGAGCUUGCUCCUUUGACGUUAGCGGCGGACGGGUGAGUAACACGUGGAUAACCUACCUAUAAGACUGGGAUAACUUCGGGAAACCGGAGCUAAUACCGGAUAACAUAUUGAACCGCAUGGUUCAAUAGUGAAAGGCGGCUUUGCUGUCACUUAUAGAUGGAUCCGCGCCGUAUUAGCUAGUUGGUAAGGUAACGGCUUACCAAGGCAACGAUACGUAGCCGACCUGAGAGGGUGAUCGGCCACACUGGAACUGAGACACGGUCCAGACUCCUACGGGAGGCAGCAGUAGGGAAUCUUCCGCAAUGGGCGAAAGCCUGACGGAGCAACGCCGCGUGAGUGAUGAAGGUCUUCGGAUCGUAAAACUCUGUUAUCAGGGAAGAACAAAUGUGUAAGUAACUGUGCACAUCUUGACGGUACCUGAUCAGAAAGCCACGGCUAACUACGUGCCAGCAGCCGCGGUAAUACGUAGGUGGCAAGCGUUAUCCGGAAUUAUUGGGCGUAAAGCGCGCGUAGGCGGUUUUUUAAGUCUGAUGUGAAAGCCCACGGCUCAACCGUGGAGGGUCAUUGGAAACUGGAAAACUUGAGUGCAGAAGAGGAAAGUGGAAUUCCAUGUGUAGCGGUGAAAUGCGCAGAGAUAUGGAGGAACACCAGUGGCGAAGGCGACUUUCUGGUCUGUAACUGACGCUGAUGUGCGAAAGCGUGGGGAUCAAACAGGAUUAGAUACCCUGGUAGUCCACGCCGUAAACGAUGAGUGCUAAGUGUUAGGGGGUUUCCGCCCCUUAGUGCUGCAGCUAACGCAUUAAGCACUCCGCCUGGGGAGUACGACCGCAAGGUUGAAACUCAAAGGAAUUGACGGGGACCCGCACAAGCGGUGGAGCAUGUGGUUUAAUUCGAAGCAACGCGAAGAACCUUACCAAAUCUUGACAUCCUUUGACCGCUCUAGAGAUAGAGUUUUCCCCUUCGGGGGACAAAGUGACAGGUGGUGCAUGGUUGUCGUCAGCUCGUGUCGUGAGAUGUUGGGUUAAGUCCCGCAACGAGCGCAACCCUUAAGCUUAAGUUGCCAUCAUUAAGUUGGGGCACUCUAAGUUGACUGCCGGGUGACAAACCGGAAGAAAGGUGGGGGAUGACGUCAAAUCAUCCAGGCCCCUUAAUGAUUUGGG